AUGAACGCUAGCGGCAGGCUUAAUACAUGCAAGUCGUGGGGCAGCAUGAGUAGCAAUACUUGAUGGCGACCGGCAAACGGGUGCGGAACACGUACACAACCUUCCUUCAGGCGGGGAAUAGCCCAGAGAAAUUUGGAUUAAUACCCCAUAAAAUUUUGAGAUGGCAUCAUCUUAUUAUUAAAGCUUCGGCACCUGAUGAUGGGCGUGCGGCUGAUUAGGUAGUUGGCGGGGUAACGGCCCACCAAGCCUACGAUCAGUAGCUGAUGUCGAGAGCAUGAUCAGCCACACGGGCACUGAGACACGGGCCCGAACUCCUACGGGAUGCAGCAGUAAGGAAUAUUGGUCAAUGGACGAAAGUCUGAACCAGCCAUGCCGCGUGGAGGAUGAAGGUCCUCUGGAUUGUAAACUUCUUUAUUUGGGACGGAAAAAAUAGGGAAUUCUUUCCCACUUGACGGUACCAGAAUAAUAAGCACCGGCUAACUCCGCGCCAGCAGCCGCGGUAAUACGGAGGGGUGCAAGCGGUUAUCCGGAUUCACUGGGGUUUAAAGGGUGCGUAGGCGGACUUUUAAGUCAGUGUGUGAAAUCCUUCAGCUUAACUGCAGAACUGCCAUUGAUACUAUUAGUCUUGAAUGUCGUGGAGGUCAGCGGAAUAUGUCAAGUGUAGCGGUGAAAUGCUUAGAUAUGACAUAGAACACCUAUUGCGAAGGCAGCUACUACGGCGAAUAUUGACAGCUGAGAGCACGAAAGCGUGGGGAUCAAACAGGAGUAGCAUUUACCCUGGUAGUCCACGCCUAAACGAUGAUUACUCGACAUUAGCGAUACACUGUUAGUGUGUCUGAGCGAAAAGCAUUAGUAAUCCACCUGGGAUAGUACGACCGCAAGGUUGAAACUCAAAGGAAUUGGCGGGGUCGCGCACAGCGGUUGGAGGCAAUGUGGUUAAUAUCGAUUGAUACGCGAGGGAACCCUUACCUGGGCUAGAAUGCAUUUUGACCGUGGGGGUGAAAAGCUCACUUUGUAGCAUACACAAUUUGUAAGGUGCUGGCAUGGCUGUCGUCAGCUCGUGCCGUGAGGUGUUGGGUUAAGUCCCGCACGAGCAGCAACCCCUAUCAGUAGUUGCCAUCAGGUAAUGCUGGGAACUCUACUGAAACUGCCGUCGUAAGACGUGAGGGAAGGAGGGGAUGAUGUCAAGUCAUCAUGGCCUUUAUGCCCAGGGCUACACACGUGCUACAAUGCGGUGCGACAAAGGGCUGCCACUUGGCAACAAGGAGCUAAUCCCAAAAACGCACUCUCAGUUCGGAUUGCAGGCUGCAACUCGCCUGCAUGAAGCUGGAAUCGCUAGUAAUCGUAUAUCAGCAAUGAUACGGUGAAUACGUUCCCGGACCUUGCACACACCGCCCGUCAAGCCAUGGAAGCCGGGUUGUACCUAAAGUCGGUAACCGCAAGGAGCUGCCUAGGGUAAAAUCGGUGACUGGGGCU
rnacentral:rRNA from 1 species